UGGGGAAUAUUGGACAAUGGGCGAAAGCCUGAUCCAGCCAUGCCGCGUGUGUGAAGAAGGUCUUCGGAUUGUAAAGCACUUUAAGUUGGGAGGAAGGGCCGUUACCUAAUACGUGAUGGUUUUGACGUUACCGACAGAAUAAGCACCGGCUAACUCUGUGCCAGCAGCCGCGGUAAUACAGAGGGUGCAAGCGUUAAUCGGAAUUACUGGGCGUAAAGCGCGCGUAGGUGGUUUGUUAAGUUGGAUGUGAAAUCCCCGGGCUCAACCUGGGAACUGCAUUCAAAACUGACUGACUAGAGUAUGGUAGAGGUUGGUGGAAUUUCCUGUGUAGCGGUGAAAGGCGUAGAUAUAGGAAGGAACACCAGUGGCGAAGGCGACCACCUGGACUGAUACUGACACUGAGGUGCGAAAGCGUGGGGAGCAAACA
rnacentral:rRNA from 1 species